rnacentral:rRNA from 1 species
GACGAACGCUGGCGGCGUGCUUAACACAUGCAAGUCGAACGGGAUCCGGGCUUUCGGGUUUGGUGAGAGUGGCGAACGGGUGAGUAACACGUGAGUAACCUGCCCCCUUCUUUGGGAUAACGUCGGGAAAUCGGCGCUAAUACUGGAUAUUCUUGCUGCAUCGCAUGGUGUGGUUUGGAAAGGGUUUCUGGUGGGGGAUGGGCUCGCGGCCUAUCAGCUUGUUGGUGGGGUGAUGGCCUACCAAGGCUUUGACGGGUAGCCGGCCUGAGAGGGUGUCCGGCGCACUUGGACAGGAUCCAGGGUCCCAAACACGCCGGCGGCAACGCGUGGGGAAGAUUGAGCACGGGCCGCAAGCCUGAAGCAGUGGUCCCGCGUGAGGAAUUCGGCAUUUUGGUUGGUAAACUCCUUUCAGUAAGGAACAAGGAUCUUUUUUUUGGGGGGUUUGGGGGUACGGACACAAAAAGCCCGGGCAAAAACCUG